CUCCAUCUUUUUUCAUUCCAAACAAUUUUCCCAUUAUCGCGGAAAAAUCCUAAAAAGCAAAAUCUUUUCUGUGUCUCCAUGAUCCUUCUAUUUCUUUUCUCUUCUCACAACCAUAUUUUGAUCUUAAGACCCUAUUCGUUCAUCUUAAACCUAAACGCUAUUUUAGAGGAAGAGUACAUUGUUGGUGUCACUGAUUUGUGUGGAUUUCAUGGAGUCAGAGAUGGGUUUGUGCGAUUUGGAAUCUUCCAAGGGUUUGAGGAGCGAACGUAGAUGCAGAACGAGUUUCUCAUGGAUUUGAGUUAGACCCGAAAUUAACAAAGUUUUCUCUGAUUGUAUUCUCUUUUCAACUAAGGAUUUAAGACGGGUACUGGGUUGUUCAUGAGUUUUUCAGCUAAUUCUCAAAGGCGGGAAGGUCCUUGGAAUCAAUAUCAAUAAAAAGUAACAGUUUAGUACCAAAACCUAAGGAAUGUGAGAGCUUCUUCACUGACAUCAUUUGGUCCUCUUUCUGAUUUCUUUGCAAUCAGUUCUGGCCAUGGUGGGAGCAAGGUAAGAUCUCUGAUCAAUCAUUUGAUGGGGAUACCAGUGGUGGAAAAGUAUGAAGAUUGCAGUUGGGCAAAUAACAGUCAUGUGGCCAGCAGUGGUGCUAACCAUCUUCCUUGUGUUGAUGGUCCAAAUUAGUAGUUCAGAAGGUCUCCUUCAUUCAUUGAAAUGCGAAAUUUCAACAAAUCAUCUCCAAAAUACAAGUAAGAAUUCUCAUAUACACUAUGAAGAAGAAUUUCAGCAGUUUUACCAAUUGGGUUAUCAUCAACUUCAAUCACAUUUUCAAAACAGUAACCCAAACCAGAAAAUUCAAAAAAAUUUGGCUCUCAAGUUUUGGUCAAUCAUUCUCCGAGAUUAUAGCAACGCUCCUAAAGAAAAGCAGACAAUCUCCAUGUUACCAAAAUUUUCUGAAUCCCGAAUAUAUUAUCUCCAAUAUUACAGAAAUAAUUUUGGUUAUAAACUGAUUCUAGUUUUACUCCCAUAUCCAAUUCAAUCUAGGGUUUCCCAAGACAAAAAAUCCUUUACUUGUUUAUCAUAUAUAUGCAAACCCUUCCUCAAUACCCAAGAGUAUAUUAAGAAGGAGAAAAAGAUCAGAAAAGCUCAACUCUUAUACCAAAUUCCAAUACAGAGAAAACAAUCCUAUCUAUCAGGCAAAAGUAUGUCUUCUUCUCAAGGAUAUCGCAUCAAUCAAUUAUCCAGACAGCUAAGGAAUGCAAAUAUUGAUUUAAAUGCAAACCAAAGAAGAACAGUUGGUUCAACUCAAUUGAUCAACCAGGCUGCAGACCAAUGGACUUAUAGAAUUCUAGGAAAGCUGAAGGAGAAAACCAAGAUGAAGAUGAGAAUCAUAAGGGAAGAAAUCAAUUCUUUGUGCGGUAAAUAUCAGAAUAAGGAGAUUAGAAUCAUGGGGCAUAACCUAUUGCUUAUCAGACUCAACAAUGAAGCUGAAACAGAUGAAGUAAUAGCAGAUGGUCCUUGGCUAAUUGAUGGAGUGUUAUUUCAUGUUCAGAAGUUUCACAACAACAUUCCUCUGAAAGAUUAUGUAUUUGAUAAGCAAAUUUUUAACAUUCAAUUCAAAUACUUGAGGUUGGAGCAUAUGAAUGUAGCUGUGAUAGAUGAAGCCAUAAACUACAGGGGAAGGAAGAUCUCAACAAAGCCAAAGAACUGCAGACCUAAAGCAGGAACUACAGUUAAAGCCAGAAUUGAAGUGAACUUGAAUAAACCCCUCCACAGAGGAGGAUGGUGGACGACACUUACAAAUGAAGAUGUUUGGAUCAGAUAUCACUGGGAAAUGCAGCCGAAGAACAUCUGCCAAAAAUAUUUUGUCAUUGUCCAUGAUGAGGAAAAUUGUGAGUAUACUUCUCAUUUGCUCUAUCUAGACUCCUUGUCUACUGCUGAAUAUGAAGCUCUUCUUAAAGAGGACAGCGAAACCAAUAAGGAUAAAGAAAAAAGUAGCUCAACUACUUACAUGGAGGAAGAACUAGCUGAAGAUGGUAAUUUAUAAGAUUCAAGAAAUGUCAAAAGAAUGAUAAAUUCCAAUCUCAACUCUGAGCCUUUAAUGAACCCUCACAACAUCCAUAUUCAACCUCCUGAAACUACUUAGGCACAAGAUACUACUAAUUUGGAUCAACAACACAACACAAUGAUGGAAUCGGAUGAACCAACUGCAAUGAUAUCUGCACCCAUGGAUGAUUGUGUCAGAGUCUCCUCUCAGACAGAGUUGGACUAGCUGGUGGCCUUAUCUUGAUGUGGAAAGAUAGAAUUAAACGUGAAGUUCAAGAAGCCUCUAAUAAUAUUAUUCAUGUUGUACCUAAACUUCAUCAAGCUAAAACAGAUGUUUAGAUUUCUUUCAUGUAUGGUUCCACAUAUUCUGAUCUUAAAAAAAUUCAAUGGGAAUUCAUGAAUAGAAUCAGUGAAUCUGCUAGUCAGCCUUGGCUUGUCAUUGGUGAUCUUAAUGUGCACCUUCAUAGUUCAGAUGCC